UACGAAGGGGGCUAGCGUUGUUCGGAAUUACUGGGCGUAAAGCGCACGUAGGCGGAUUGGUCAGUUAGGGGUGAAAUCCCGGGGCUCAACCCCGGAACUGCCUUUAAUACUACCAAUCUAAAAUCCGAGAGAGAUGAAUGGAAUUCCGAGUGUAGAGGUGAAGUUCGUAGAUAUUCGGAGGAACACCAGUGGCGAAGGCGGCUCACUGGCUCGGUACUGACGCUGAGGUGCGAAAGCGUGGGGAGCAAACAGG
rnacentral:rRNA from 1 species